ACAAAACCCAAUACAAAAACGCAAACUCAACAGAGUAAACUCAAUACGAAACCUAUUUCAACCCCUAAACAAAAUCUCUAUCUCCUUCAAACGCUAUCUCCAUCUCUCUGUCUCUGUCUCUCCUUCAAACGCAAAUUCAACCCCUAAACAAAUCUCUAUCUCCUUCAAACGCAAAUUCAACCCCUAAACAAAUCUCUAUCUCCUUCAAACGCUGUCUCUGUCUCUCUUCCCCUGCAACGGUAAACGAAUUCAACUAAGCUACAAACGCUUUGCCUCACAACCAACGGCUACAGGGCAGCCAAGUAGAUGAAUUUACAGGACAAGUCUGGAACUUUGGUAGAAGAAAGGGUGGUGAAAAUGGACAAAUAUAGCCAAGGCUUUGUGGUUGAGUUUCUAUUUCCUUUGAUAAUUUUGAGAAGCUGCCAAGGCUUUUUUAUUUAUAGCUCCUGACAGCGAUGAUAUCUCCACAGCUAUACAGUUCAUCAAUAAGGCAAGGCCAUGGAUUACAUUGAUGGUCAUUGGCUGGGAAUAUGGUGCAAACAUGUUGACGAAGUACUUGGCAGAAGCUGGAGAGAAUACAUUGCUUACAGUUGCCAUGUGCAUAGACAAUCCAUUUGACUUAGAGGAGGCUACAAGGUCCUUUCCUUAUCACAUGGCCAUUGGUCAGAAGUUCACUGUUGGACUGAUAGAUAUUCUAAGAUCUAAUAAGGAAACCCCCAAAUCAAAAACCAUAGCCCCUUCCUAUCAAAAAAGAAAAAAAGAAGAAGAAGAAGGAAAACAAUAGCUUCUCAUCCGUUUCUCUCUCCAGUCUCUAUGCUUCGCCUUUAGUGCACCUUCUCCUUUGUCUCUGCUCCUAAUGAUGGAAAGCGAUUAAAAAAUUGGGAUUGAAGGGAGCAAAAUCAAGAUGCCGUGGACGUCCUCUUUUGAUUCAAAUUCAUAAAAGCUUCCUUACUCUCUUUCUCUCUCCAUGUGGCGUGAGGUCAAAUAUUUGCUUUCUCUGUUCUAAAUAACAAUUUAUAGAACUCAAUGUUUUAUGUUAAAUAAAUAUAUGAUGUACUCUUCUAUAUAAUGCAGAUUUGUUAUAUUAUGUUCUUUCUCUACUCUUUUUGAGUCAUAGCAAAAGAAUUUGACAUUAGUAACUAUAUUCUAUUUAUUUAUUAUGAAAAUAAGAUUGUGAUCAUUAUUGCAAUUUUUUUAUUUGUUUAUUCAUAGAAUAUAUGUAACUAUGAAAAUAUCUUCAUUGCCAAUGGAUCUAUGGUAGUGGUAUUAAUCUUUUCGGCAUGUAUGUAUUUUUAUGGAGCUAAUAUACCGGAUUUCUUUUAUUGGGCACAAGCAUAUUGUGUACUAGGUUUGACAAUGUUUAAUAUUUGAAUUAUUGAAGAUUUUAUGUUAUGCUUGGCUCUUUGCCAUUUAUUUGUAUUAUUUGAUUAGUGAGUCUUGAGACAUUCUGAUUUAGUCCAGCAAAUGAUAAUUGCAAUAUUGUUUUUUUCUUUUUAAACAAUUCCGUGCAUCGCACGGGUUAGCGACUAGUUAGUAAUAUAACCAUCCAUAAUAUAUUAUGGUAUGCUAAAUUGGGAAUGUUGUGAGUUUUUGGUGUCCAUAACAUUACUUGACAUGGAAGCCUGUAUGGAUUUCAUGAAUUGGCUUGACCUGGACAUGUCAAUGAAGGACCCAUCUGAUCUUGCCCGUGUUAGUUCUAUGUCACGGUCUUGUACUCUAGCCCAAUAAGAAGAAGACAGGUCAUUAAAAAUUUGAUGACAUAAGUUUGUUGCCAUGUCACCCCACCACAGCCUACUACUCUAACGUCCCUUUAACCCCGUCAGUUCUAACUUUUGAGAUCAGGACUCAAAAUUUUCCUUUUUGAGAGAAAGUUCAAAUUUCAGAUGUGAAUGGGUGGGCGGGAACUGAAAUUUUUGCACCUGAAACCUUUCCAAAUUUUGUUUUAUGAAGUAAUCACAAUAGACAAUAUCAAAGAUUCAAAAUGUCUUCCAUGGGUCGUGGGUCAUUUUCCCCCACGCCAAAGAAAUUGUUUUCCUGUCGAAUUUGGGUCAUCGUCUCCAUUCUCCAACUUCCCACUCGGCAGCAAUGGAGACUUCAGCACUGCCCUGCUCAUUACCGCAAGCCUCCUCCAUGUUUCCUCCCCCUGCAAUCCCUCGCCUCCGCAUCAUAGAUAGACAAAUGCUUUGAUGAGAAAUCCAAUUAUCCAAACGUUUUAGAUUUGAGAGGUAUGUUGUUCCUCCAACAAGGAUGAUAUUGCUUGCUCCAAGAUUCAAGCAAUGAAUGGGAUUUUAUUGUAUUAGGUUUAGUAUUAAGUUGGUGAAGAAUCGAGCAUGUAUUGGAUGAACAAGUGGAUUUUGAGAGUGUCUCGCAAGAAGACUACCCACGAAAGAGCCAUGUGAGAAGCACAUGCUGGAAGCUGAAGGGUCGUGCCAGGCUGUCAGUUUCACAAGCGUCUCUCAAAAAUGGCCAACCCAUGAGAUACCUGCGAAACUCUCUACCUGGAAGAUUUUUUUUAGUGUGAUUUUCUUAUCCUUCACUCAUACUAUAUAUCCCCUCAUUACCCACAAAAGUAUAAGAAGUUAUUCAGAGAGAAAAACUCUAGAUAGGUUUUCUACAACACAACACACCCAUCUUUUAGAGAGAGAGCUACUCAUCCUUAGUGAGAAAUCCUUGUAGCCUCUUCUCUUUCCUUCUCCCAUUAUCAUAUCUUGAGAGGAGAUUUGUACCCAAACACAACCCACACCUUUUUAGAGUAUAGAGAGUGUUUUGGAGCUUGGGAAGUUUUGGGAAUUUGCCAAAAGAAGCCGAUGAGGCUUGGCAGAUGCAAUCGAGCGUAUUGCGGGAUCCAGAAAGCUAGAGAAGACAUAACUUCGAGAAGUCCGUUGGUAGCAAGAGUUUGGAGGACUCAAGUACAUCAGGUAAACUAGGCUUGGAGGGUCUUUUGUUAUUCGUGCACUUAACUUUUUUCAUUAAUGGAUCGAUUUUGACUUGGAGGGUCGCGGAGAGAUUUUUCUCCGAGUUCUUCAGUUUCCUUUUCGAUAACACAUCUCAGUGUUAUUUUGUAUUUGCAUCUCUCUUCCCUACUUUUAAGCUUUACUUUAUAUCAUUGAUAAUGGAUAAAUAUGGCUUAGGGUAGUGUUAUCGGUUGUUUGCGCUCAUUUACUCUUUUUCCGCACUUAAUUUAAAUUAAAGUAAAAGUACUUUAGCUGAAAUUUUAAUUUGGGGGUCUAAACAAGCUCUUGUGUUUUCACACAAAUUCGAGCUUUCAACUUGUAAUGUUUAUUAAUAACUAUAAAUUUCAAUAAUGCUAUUUUGUAUUAAUCGUGUGAUAUAUAUAUUCAUACAUUAUUUAGUAUUGAUAUUCUAUCAUCGUGCAAAAGAAGUUUAGACUUUAGAGAAGCAAAAUAGUAGAGGUGGAGAGAAAGGUCUCAAAACUACAAAAAUCCAAAAGGAAAUUUCAAUGGAUAGCUGAAAAAUAUGUCUGAUGAUGCUUUGGCCAAAAUAGGCAAAUAUCCCAUUCACACAAAAAAAUCAAGCAAAAUGCCUCAUGUCUGAAACUAAUUAGGAAAAUUCCCUUGUUUAGAAAAUCGAGUUUCAAAUGUAAAACUCAAUUUUUGGAAUAUCGAGUAACGUGGACUUAGGAAAUUUUUUUUUUUUCUUUUUGGAACUUGAGUUCCAAUUUUUUUUUUUUUUUUAAUUUUCAGUUUGCUAUAACUCAAUUGUCCAAAAAUCGAGUUUCAAAACAGAGGCAUUUCCUUAAUUAGUUCGAGAAAGAGGACAUUUGCUAGAUUUUUUGUGUGAAAGGGGCAUUUGCCCAUUUUGGCCAUGAUGCUUUCAUUUGUGGAAAUAAUUAUACUUUCUACAUUGAAGCCUUGUCGCCUAGCUUUCUUUUAGGAGUCCAUUGUUUUACUUUUUGGUUUUCAUCUACCAAAGUGAAUUUGUUUUUAGACAGCUUUAGUUUGAAAGAAACUACUUUUUGUACUAACAGACUAAUUCAAAUUUUAGUUGGAGCCCAUGGAAAGUUAUGGUGUCAA